GUGCCAGCCGCCGCGGUAAUACAGAGGUCUCAAGCGUUGUUCGGAUUUAUUGGGCGUAAAGGGUGCGUAGGCGGCGAUGUAAGUCAGGUGUGAAAUCUUGGGGCUUAACCCCAACAAGCAUUCGAUACUGCAUUGCUAGAGGACUGGAUGCGAGAUUGGAAUUCACGGUGUAGCAGUGAAAUGCGUAGAUAUCGUGAGGAAGGCCAGUGGCGAAAGCGAAUCUCUGGACAGUUCCUGACGCUGAGGCACGAAGGCUAGGGGAGCAAACGGGAUUAGAAACCCUUGUAGUCC
rnacentral:rRNA from 1 species